rnacentral:rRNA from 1 species
UAGGGAAUAUUGGACAAUGGGCGAAAGCCUGAUCCAGCCAUGCCGCGUGAGUGAAGAAGGCCUUCGGGUUGUAAAGCUCUUUUAGUCGGAAAGAAAGAGUCGCAAUGAAUAAUUGUGAUUUAUGACGGUACCGACAGAAAAAGCACCGGCUAACUACGUGCCAGCAGCCGCGGUAAUACGUAGGGUGCGAGCGUUAAUCGGAAUUACUGGGCGUAAAGGGUGCGCAGGCGGUUUUGCAAGUCAGAUGUGAAAGCCCCGGGCUUAACCUGGGAAUUGCGUUUGAAACUACAAGGCUAGAGUGCAGCAGAGGGGAGUGGAAUUCCAUGUGUAGCAGUGAAAUGCGUAGAGAUGUGGAAGAACACCGAUGGCGAAGGCAGCUCCCUGGGUUGACACUGACGCUCAUGCACGAAAGCGUGGGGAGCAAACA